rnacentral:tRNA from 1 species
AGCCGUUUAGUUUAAUAGUAGAGCACUCAACCGGAAUUUGAAGGGUACAGGUUCGACUCCCGUAGCUACCA